GGCAGUUCUUGGGUGACGCACCUCGGAAUUGGGCUCUCUCCUUUCUGGUUCCAGGUGCAUCACCCGAGAACUCCA
rfam:Myotis brandtii contig273076, whole genome shotgun sequence.